GACGAACGCUGGCGGCGUGCUUAACACAUGCAAGUCGAGCGGAAAGGCCCUUUCGGGGGUACUCGAGCGGCGAACGGGUGAGUAACACGUGAGUAAUCUGCCCUUGGCUCCUGGAUAGCCCUCCGAAAGGGGGAUUAAUACGGGAUAUGACUGCGCAUCGCAUGGUGUGUGGUGGAAAGUUUUUUCGGCCAGGGAUGUGCUCGCGGCCUAUCAGCUUGAUGGUGGGGUAAUGGCCUACCAUGGCUUCGACGGGUAGCCGGCCUGAGAGGGUGACCGGCCACACUGGGACUGAGACACGGCCCAGACUCCUACGGGAGGCAGCAGUGGGGAAUAUUGGACAAUGGGCGGAAGCCUGAUCCAGCAACGCCGCGUGAGGGAUGACGGCCUUCGGGUUGUAAACCUCUUUCAGCACAGACGAAGCUCACUUGUGGGUGACGGUAUGUGCAGAAGAAGCACCGGCCAACUACGUGCCAGCCGCCGCCGUAACAC
rnacentral:rRNA from 1 species